UGGGGAAUAUUGGACAAUGGGCGAAAGCCUGAUCCAGCCAUGCCGCGUGUGUGAAGAAGGUCUUCGGAUUGUAAAGCACUUUAAGUUGGGAGGAAGGGCAGUAAGCGAAUACCUUGCUGUUUUGACGUUACCGACAGAAUAAGCACCGGCUAACUCUGUGCCAGCAGCCGCGGUAAUACAGAGGGUGCAAGCGUUAAUCGGAAUUACUGGGCGUAAAGCGCGCGUAGGUGGUUCGUUAAGUUGAAUGUGAAAGCCCCGGGCUCAACCUGGGAACUGCAUCCAAGACUGGCGAGCUAGAGUAGGGCAGAGGGUGGUGGAGUUUCCUGUGUAGCGGUGAAAUGCGUGGAUAUAGGAAGGAACACCAGUGGCGAAGGCGACCACCUGGGCUCAUACUGACACUGAGGUGCGAAAGCGUGGGGAGCAAACAGG
rnacentral:rRNA from 1 species